CUAACGAGGAUUCCCUUAGUAACUGCGAGUGAAGUGGGAAAAGCUCAAAUUUAAAAUCUGGCAGCGUCUGGUUGUCCGAGUUGUAACCUAGAGAAGUGCAGCCUGUGCUGGACCAUGUAUAAGUCUCCUGGAAUGGAGUGUCACAGAGGGUGAGAAUCCCGUGUUCGACAUGGACUGCCAGUGCAUUGUGGUGUGCUCUCAAAGAGUCGAGUUGUUUGGGAAUGCAGCUCUAAACGGGUGGUAAAUUCCAUCUAAAGCUAAAUAUUGGCGAGAGACCGAUAGCGAACAAGUACCGUGAGGGAAAGAUGAAAAGAACUUUGGAAAGAGAGUUAAACAGUACGUGAAAUUGUUGAAAGGGAAACAUUUAAAGUCAGUUGUGUUAGCUGGGGAUCAACCUGGUUUAUUGCUUGGGUGUAUUUCCUGGUUGACAGGUCAACAUCAGUUCUGACCGGUAGAAAAAAGCUAAGGAAAUGUGGCACCUUUGGGUGUGUUAUAGUCCUUGGUUGUAUCUGGUGGUUGGGACUGAGGAAUGCAGCACACCGCAAGGGCGGUCGCCAGGCCAUUCAUUGGGCUGGAGACGUUGUGCU
rnacentral:rRNA from 1 species